rnacentral:tRNA from 1 species
GCGAAAGUGGCGGAAUUGGCAGACGCGCCAGACUUAGGAUCUGGUGGGGUAACACCCGUGGGGGUUCGAGUCCCCCCUUUCGCA